rnacentral:lncRNA from 1 species
AGAAAGGAGUGUGCUUCACAGCUCUGAGAGACACCUACAGUCUCGAUUGCUGACAUGACAGUCACUACAGUUGAUGAGUGCAAGCCUGUGUAUUUAUUGGGUGUGCCUGGGUAACGUUCUGAACAAGCUACAAAAAUGAUCAGAAUCAUAGAAUCAUUAAGGUUAGAAAAGACCCUUUAGAUCGAGUCCAACGGUAAAAUGUCAGAGAAGGAACGCUAUCGUAGGGGAGCUUCCUAAGGGAGUCACUGCCUCAAUGGAGGUAGCAGUGAGAAGAGCAGGGCAAAGGCAGCUGUUGACCCUGAAACUCAUGCUCAGUCUCUAGUGUCUUCGAAAGCCCUACCUGUAGUGGCAGUGUGGAAAUACCUGAGUGCUGCAGGCAAAAACUAUGUGAAAUUGUACAGUUUAGAUGAGGUUUCUCAUAUCAAGGCAUUUGCUGCUGGUCACACUGAAGCAAGUCACACUCCACGCUGAAGGAGGAGAGAAAAGAGACUGGUGUUACUGUGCACACAAAAGCCAAGAGCAGCAGUGACAAAUAAAUGUGUCUUGAGUUAACAGAACAGUAAGUCAGUUUUUCAGCCAAGGCCAAUCUGUUUCUAAUAAUAAAAAUUAAAAAAAAACCACAAACCAAAACCUGAAGAGCUUCAAUUCCUUGUCUUCACGUUAAAACAUUCAGCUCAUUCUUAGCAUACAGUUGGCUCCUCUCCUAGUGUUCUUCCCAGUUUCUGGAAAAGGACACUUCUGUGGCAGUGGAAACCUCCAGCUCCUUUGAAGUGGGCAAAAGUAGUUCUGAAGGAAGCCCUUAGUCACUGAGCGUUACUUGCUGCUAUCGGACUGCUCAGUGUGUGCUGACUGCUGCGUGCUCUGGUAACCAGUUAGAAGAGCUUUGAAAUGGUAAAAAAACACAGCUAUGUGAAACAAACUGCUUUUCUCCGCUGCAGGACAGGCCUUUCAUCACUAGAUGAGGAUCUCUUCCUUCUGGAGAAGCUUGCUCUUGCAUCAGUAAGCAGGAUCCUGAGGGUAAUCACCUUUUUCCCCUACAGCCCCCCAAACUAUAAGCCCUUUCUGCAUCUCUUCCCAGCACAGCAGCUGCUGGUUGUAAUGCUCAACGAAAGUGACCUUGUUUUUCAUGCCUGUGGUUGCGUUGUUUGGGGGAAAGAGUGUGUGUUUCAUUUCUUUAGGAAAUUUUUUUUUUUUUUUUUUUUUUUUUUUUAAUUUCAGACUGGUCCUGUUUUCCUCUGUUCUUUCAGGAAUAAUUGCCCCUGAUUUCACCUGCUCUUCGAUAAAAGGCAGCAGAUAGAUAGUUCUGCACAUUAAGUAAAGCAGAGUUUAUUAAAUGCAGUUAAACUAUGCAGAUAAAACAUCUUUGCCCAUGAAAUAAGGGUACUGGUGGUAAACCUGACUGCAAAGAAUUGAUUUUCAAAAUGCUUUGUGAUACUUGGCAAUAAGUAAUCCACAUGGGGGGAGAUAACCUUGGCUGUCUUACAGAGCCAUGGGUUCUAAAUCAGGAGUUUCCUCCUAGGGGGGAUACGUAGGAGUAGCUUUGGAUCAUUCCCUGAAACCAUUUGCCUUUUACUGCUGCAGAUAAGUAGCACGAGAUGAAUAGAGGCAGGUUUGGCAAACAUUGUGCCAUUAUAUAAACCCACAUACAGUGUCCUGGCUCAAAGAGCACAGUAACAAAAGGAGCACCCAGAACAGAACAGUAAGAGAUGGGGAACAGCUUCCGUGUGACCAGAGUAGGAUGAGUAACAGUAGGAAGGGGUAACAGUCUGUAAGACAAGAUCCAAAAAAACCCCAAAAAUCAGAUGAACUGAGGAGACAAAACCCAGUAAAAUAAAUGAAAAAGUGUAACUGAAUUGACUGCCA